GGCGCGUUAACAAAGCGGUUAUAUGGCGGAUUGCAAAUCCGCGUCUGGUCAGUUCGACUCCGGAACGCGCCU
rnacentral:tRNA from 1 species